rfam:Pan troglodytes isolate Yerkes chimp pedigree #C0471 (Clint) chromosome 2B, whole genome shotgun sequence.
UAGUGUUACAGCUCUUUUAAAAUUUGUUUAGCAGGCUUUCCAAUUUUUGCCAGAAAACUCCCUA